rnacentral:rRNA from 1 species
UGGGGAGUUUUGGACAAUGGGGGAAACCCUGAUCCAGCCAUCCCGCGUGUGCGAUGAAGGCCUUCGGGUUGUAAAGCACUUUUGGCAGGAAAGAAACGUCGCGGGUUAAUACCCCGCGAAACUGACGGUACCUGCAGAAUAAGCACCGGCUAACUACGUGCCAGCAGCCGCGGUAAUACGUAGGGUGCAAGCGUUAAUCGGAAUUACUGGGCGUAAAGCGUGCGCAGGCGGUUCGGAAAGAAAGAUGUGAAAUCCCAGAGCUUAACUUUGGAACUGCAUUUUUAACUACCGGAGCUAGAGUGUGUCAGAGGGAGGUGGAAUUCCGCGUGUAGCAGUGAAAUGCGUAGAUAUGCGGAGGAACACCGAUGGCGAAGGCAGCCUCCUGGGAUAACACUGACGCUCAUGCACGAAAGCGUGGGGAGCAAACAGGAUUAGAUACCCUGGUAGUCCACGCCCUAAACGAUGUCAACUAGCUGUUGGGGCCUUCGGGCCUUGGUAGCGCAGCUAACGCGUGAAGUUGACCGCCUGGGGAGUACGGUCGCAAGAUU